rnacentral:rRNA from 1 species
AAUACUUCAUAGUAUUACAGAUUCGCAUGUUUCUGUAAUUAAAGUUCCAACGGUAAAGGAUGGACAUGCGUGACAUUAGUUUGUUGGUGAGGUAACGGCUCACCAAGACUACGAUGUCUAGGGGUUCUGAGAGGAUGAUACCCCCACACUGGUACUGAGACACGGACCAGACUCCUACGGGAGGCAGCAGUGAGGAAUAUUGGACAAUGGACGAAAGUCUGAUCCAGCCAUCCCGCGUGCAGGAAGAAUGCCCUAUGGGUUGUAAACUGCUUUUAUACAGGAAUAAACCCCUCUACGUGUAGAGGGCUGAAGGUACUGUAAGAAUAAGCACCGGCUAACUCCGUG